rnacentral:rRNA from 1 species
CACCGGCGGCUCGAGUGGUGGCCACUUUUAUUGGGUCUAAAGCGUCCGGAGCCGGCUUGGCAAGUCCCCUGGGAAAUCUGGCGGCUUAACCGUCAGGCGUCCAGAGGAUACUGCCAGGCUUGGGACCGGGAGAGGUGAGAGGUACCUCAGGGGUAGGGGUGAAAUCUUGUGAUCCCUGAGGGACCACCAGUGGCGAAGGCGUCUCACUAGAACGGGUCCGACGGUCAGGGACGAAAGCUGGGGGCACGAACCGG